AUAAUGCUUCCGGGUACGAUUCGGGCACUGAGAGGCGGAGAAGCCGGAAAACAGAUUUAAACCACUGUUUGAACGGUCACCUCGGUUUGUCAGCACUGUGAGAAACGUGAUUACCGAAGAGGCCUGGAUGUUAAAACAAGCUUUGGAGCUGCUUUUCUGUCGAACACGAGUGAGGCUGGACGCUGAACACACCUGCGGCACGAAGGUCUGCUUGUUCAGCUGCUGCAGCUUGGACUGAAACACGAUCAUCACCUUACAGACCAACAGGUGUCACCACUUGGUCCACGACAUCGUCCACGAUCGCUGAGACGUCGUCCAUGAUCGGAGAGACAUUGUUGAGGAUGAGGGAGACAUCGUCCACGAUCAGAGACAUUGUCCACGAUCGCAGAGACCUUGCCAAAGAUGAGAGAGACGUUGUCCGUGAUCAGAGACAUUGUCCCAUGCUUCGUAGAGACCUUGCGAUAGAAUCGGCGGAGACGGGGGUCACCGAUUUGACGGCACUGCCCGCGAUCAUGGAGACAUUUGUCGAUGGUCAGAGAGACAGCGUCUAUGAUCUCAGAGACAUCGUCCACGAUCACAAAGACUUUGUCCAUGAUUACAGAGACUUUGUCCAUAAUCUCAGAGACACUGUCCGCGAUCACAGAGACGUAGUCCACGAUCACAGAGAGUCUUGGUACAAUGAAGAAGUUGUUUGAGACCAGGACAGAGGCCUCCAGGAGGAGGAAAAGACCGCAUCACCUGAAGAGGACAACAUAAUGUUCUUAAGGAUGUUUAGAGAUGUAUACGGUUUUAAUAGAUAUGUCCCCAUAUGUGCUCACGAUUAUAUUCAGUGUGAGAGAACAAAAUGUGUGUCCUCGACUGGUCAAACAUCUGUCAUUGUCUUUGCUGUGGCUUGUUAAAUGUUGUCCAUAACAGAAUCAAUAAAGUUUUGU